rnacentral:lncRNA from 10 species
UCAAUUCACUCGACAACAAGAGAAACAAAUGGAGAUUCCUACACAAAGACUUUCAAGCACAAAGAAAUCCUGCUGCCUGUAAAGCGGAGCUGCCUCAGCCCUUGAUGAACGACAGAAAAUACCACCUACUGCCAGACCUCAACGCCUCACAAAACUCUCACCCACCUACUGCUUUUAGCUCACAUUCCAGGAAUUCAGAUGAAGUGAAGUGCUCUCAUGGGGACCAGGCAUGGUUAUGCCAGUCCACUGCCCUGCAAGCCUCAAGGGAAGCCAACUGCCCUUCAGCAAGUCACACCUGCCUUGGUGGAGGCCUUGAUUGGAAGUGCCACACGCUACAUGUCCAGUCCUGAGCGGGAGAAUCGGUGUAGGGACGUUCUGGGGAUGCCAGCUGUGGCCAGAUCAGGUCCAACUACAGAAGAAUAAUGAAGACUCCACCUGAGGGCUGGAAAAACAAAACCUCAAGUGUGAGGCAGCCAACCUGUUACCUCGAGGGACUGUUCCGCAGCACAGCGGGGCCAUGGGAACAGCAGCAGACACCCCGACCUCCUCGCUACCUGUGUGUGUAUUAACACGCCGGCCUCCUCGCUACCUAUCAACUAUGGCCUGA